rnacentral:rRNA from 1 species
UACGUAGGGACCGAGCGUUGUCCGGAAUCAUUGGGCGUAAAGAGCGUGUAGGCGGCUUGCUAAGUCUUGCGUGAAAGCUUGGGGCUCAACCCCGAGUCGGCCGUCGAUACUUCCGGGCUGGAGCACUGUAGAGGCAGGUGGAAUUCCGGGUGUAGCGGUGGAAUGCGUAGAGAUCCGGAAGAACACCGGUGGCGAAGGCGGCCUGCUGGGCAGUAGCUGACGCUGAGGCGCGACAGCGUGGGGAGCAAACAGG